rnacentral:rRNA from 1 species
CCGCGUGGAGGAUGAAGUAUACUUGGUCGUAAACUCCUUUCGAUGGGAAAGAUAAUGACGGUACCCAUAGAAGAAGCCCCGGCUAACUUCGUGC